rnacentral:tRNA from 1 species
GGAGAGGUGGGAGAGCCUGGUUUAAUCCACCAACUUGGAAAGUUGGCAUACCUUUGGUAUCGCAAGUUCGAAUCUUGUCCUCUCCGCCA